rnacentral:rRNA from 1 species
CCUACGGGUGGCAGCAGUGAGGAAUAUUGGUCAAUGGGCGGGAGCCUGAACCAGCCAAGUCGCGUGAGGGAAGACGGUCCUAUGGAUUGUAAACCUCUUUAGGCGGGGAGCAAUGCCGGGCACGUGUGCCCGGAGGGAGAGUACCCGCAGAAUCAGCAUCGGCUAACUCCGUGCCAGCAGCCGCGGUAAUACGGAGGAUGCGAGGGUUAUCCGGAUUUAGUGGGUUAAAGGGGUGCGUAGGCGGAUUUUUAAGUCAGCGGGAAAAUGGCCGGGCUCAACCCGGGCCGGCCGUUGAAACUGGGGAUCUUGAGUGGGCGAGAGGUAUGCGGAAUGCGUGGUGUAGCGGUGAAAUGCAUAGAUAUCACGCAGAACUCCGAUUGCGAAGGCAGCAUACCGGCGCCCGACUGACGCUGAGGCACGAAAGCGUGGGGAUCGAACAGGAUUAGAUACCCUUGUAGUC